UACGAAUGGGGCGAGCGUUGUUCGGAAUCACUGGGCUUAAAGCGUGCGCAGGCGGCCAUCCAAGUCAGAAGUGAAAGCCCCGGGCUCAACCCGGGAAUUGCUUUUGAAACUGGACGGCUAGAGUCCCGGAGAGGUUAGGGGAAUUCCCAGUGUAGAGGUGAAAUUCGUAGAUAUUGGGAGGAACACCAGUGGCGUAGGCGCCUAACUGGACGGGAACUGACGCUCAGGCACGAAAGCGUGGGGAGCAAACAGG
rnacentral:misc_RNA from 1 species